rnacentral:rRNA from 1 species
AUUGAACGCUUGCGGCAGGCCUAACACAUGCAAGUCGAGCGAGCGGCGGACGGGUGAUUAAUGUCUGGGAAACUUCCUGAUGGAGGGGGAUAACUAAUGGAAACGGUAGCUAAUACCGAACACCAUUAGAUGUUGAACGAUUGGAUUAGGUAGUAGGUGGGGUAACGGCUCACCUAGGCGACGAUCCCUAGCUGGUCGGAGAGGAUGACCAGCCACACUGGAACGGAGACACGGUCCAGACUCCUACGGGAGGCAGCAGUGGGGAAUAUUGCACAAUGGGCGCAAGCCUGAUGCAGCCAUGCCGCGUGUGUGAAGAAGGCCUUCGGGUUGUAAAGCACUUUCAGCGGGGAGGCGUUACCCGCAGAAGAAGCACCGGCUAACUCCGUGCCAGCAGCCGCGGUAAUAC